CCUGAGGCAGAGCUUGGCCGGACCUGGCGACCCCUGAGCUUGUGGGAAAUGGACAUGGCCAGCACCGCCUUCAGAAAGUGGGACUCCCAGGCCCCCCCGGCCCCCCAGGGCCGCCCGGGAAGCCCGGCCAGGACGGCAUUGACGGAGAAGCUGGUCCUCCAGGUCUGCCUGGGCCCCCGGGACCAAAGGGGGCCCCAGGAAAGCCGGGGAAACCAGGAGAGGCCGGGCUGCCGGGACUGCCGGGUGUGGAUGGUCUGACUGGGCGAGAUGGACCCCCUGGACCCAAGGGUGCCCCUGGGGAACGGGGAAGUCUGGGACCCCCGGGGCCGCCCGGGCUGGGGGGCAAAGGCCUCCCUGGACCCCCCGGAGAGGCAGGAGUGAGCGGCCCCCCAGGUGGGAUCGGCCUCCGCGGCCCCCCGGGACCUUCUGGACUCCCCGGCCUCCCUGGCCCCCCAGGACCUCCCGGACCCCCUGGACACCCAGGAGUCCUCCCUGAAGGCGUUACUGACCUUCAGUGCCCAAGUAUCUGCCCGCCAGGUCCCCCAGGGCCCCCUGGAAUGCCAGGGUUCAAGGGACCCACUGGCUACAAAGGCGAGCAGGGGGAAGUCGGCAAGGAUGGCGAGAAGGUAAAGCUG
rnacentral:sRNA from 1 species